rnacentral:rRNA from 1 species
UACGAAGGGUGCAAACGUUGCUCGGAAUUACUGGGCGUAAAGCGCGCGUAGGCGGACCUGCAAGUCGGGGGUGAAAGCCCGAGGCUCAACCUCGGAACUGCCUUCGAUACUGCGGGUCUCGAGUCCGGGAGAGGUGAGUGGAAUUCCUAGUGUAGAGGUGAAAUUCGUAGAUAUUAGGAAGAACACCAGUGGCGAAGGCGGCUCACUGGCCCGGUACUGACGCUGAGGCGCGAAAGCGUGGGGAGCAAACAGG